rnacentral:rRNA from 1 species
GAUGAACGCUGGCGGCGUGCCUAAUACAUGCAAGUCGAGCGAACGGACGAGAAGCUUGCUUCUCUGAUGUUAGCGGCGGACGGGUGAGUAACACGUGGAUAACCUACCUAUAAGACUGGGAUAACUUCGGGAAACCGGAGCUAAUACCGGAUAAUAUUUUGAACCGCAUGGUUCAAAAGUGAAAGACGGUCUUGCUGUCACUUAUAGAUGGAUCCGCGCUGCAUUAGCUAGUUGGUAAGGUAACGGCUUACCAAGGCAACGAUGCAUAACCGACCUGAGAGGGUGAUCGGCCACACUGGAACUGAGACACGGUCCAGACUCCUACGGGAGGCAGCAGUAGGGAAUCUUCCGCAAUGGGCGAAAGCCUGACGGAGCAACGCCGCGUGAGUGAUGAAGGUCUUCGGAUCGUAAAACUCUGUUAUUAGGGAAGAACAUAUGUGUAAGUAACUGUGCACAUCUUGACGGUACCUAAUCAGAAAGCCACGGCUAACUACGUGCCAGCAGCCGCGGUAAUACGUAGGUGGCAAGCGUUAUCCGGAAUUAUUGGGCGUAAAGCGCGCGUACGCGGUUUUUUAAGUCUGAUGUGAAAGCCCACGGCUCAACCGUGGAGGGUCAUUGGAAACUGGAAAACUUGAGUGCAGAAGAGGAAAGUGGAAUUCCAUGUGUAGCGGUGAAAUGCGCAGAGAUAUGGAGGAACACCAGUGGCGAAGGCGACUUUCUGGUCUGUAACUGACGCUGAUGUGCGAAAGCGUGGGGAUCAAACAGGAUUAGAUACCCUGGUAGUCCACGCCGUAAACGAUGAGUGCUAAGUGUUAGGGGGUUUCCGCCCCUUAGUGCUGCAGCUAACGCAUUAAGCACUCCGCCUGGGGAGUACGACCGCAAGGUUGAAACUCAAAGGAAUUGACGGGGACCCGCACAAGCGGUGGAGCAUGUGGUUUAAUUCGAAGCAACGCGAAGAACCUUACCAAAUCUUGACAUCCUUUGACAACUCUAGAGAUAGAGCCUUCCCCUUCGGGGGACAAAGUGACAGGUGGUGCAUGGUUGUCGUCAGCUCGUGUCGUGAGAUGUUGGGUUAAGUCCCGCAACGAGCGCAACCCUUAAGCUUAGUUGCCAUCAUUAAGUUGGGCACUCUAAGUUGACUGCCGGUGACAAACCGGAGGAAGGUGGGGAUGAUGUCAAAUCAUCAUGCCCCUUAUGAUUUGGGCUACACACGUGCUACAAUGGACAAUACAAAGGGCAGCGAAACCGCGAGGUCAAGCAAAUCCCAUAAAGUCGUUCUCAGUUCGGAUUGUAGUCUGCAACUCGACUACAUGAAGCUGGAAUCGCUAGUAAUCGUAGAUCAGCAUGCUACGGUGAAUACGUUCCCGGGUCU